rnacentral:misc_RNA from 1 species
UGGCUGGCACUCGCCACUCACCCUCCGCCGCACCGUUCGCCGUCGUUCGCCGUAUGGUCGCGGCCACAGUGACGGUCAAACUGUUGGACGCAACACUUCGUGCAAUCCCUGACGUGUGUACGGUACGCGUGUAUUUGUGUGAAAAACCUGCCUGGCCAGAUUCUGUUUCGAAUAAAUGGGUAUAAGAUAGUACGUACAGAAAUGUGUGCAACGCCUCGCGCGCACCGUUAAACGCGUACGACUCGUCGACGUAAACACGGCGAAAAUACGGAUCGGAAAUCGGGCCGACGGACGGGUGGAUAUUUCGGAUCCGAGCGCGAUUCGAGACAGCCAGGACUGCGAGUCUCCUCACCCGGCAGGAUACGUUGCAAAAUUCCCAACGCACGGUGAGGGAUACAACGCGCCCGUCGCUCCGGACGCAUCCUUUACCUACGAGCAUAUUACAUAUACACCGAGUGUCUUGUUGAUUGUACGUAUUAUUAUUAUUAUUGGUGAGUGGUGGUGCCAAGUGCAAAGAGAGUGCGAUUGCCUACGGUGCAUGGGACUCGCUGCGAUGCCGUGGUCGUUGAAACUACGGACUUACGGGUAGCUCGGAGAGGCAGUGUCAGUGACUCAAGUCACGAUGCACAUGUCGCUGCUGCUGAGAUUGGUGUUAGCGGCAGUGGGUGUGCUGCUAGCGGGCGGGGGUGCAGCCUUUGCGGAUACGGUGGAAGUCGUCGGAGCCGGCGAACGCAACCGAGCCAUCGCUGGUGUCGAGGCUAGCCUCCUUUCCCUUCUGGGCUUCGCGAAGAGACCCAGGCCGUCGGGAUCUGCUCACGUGCCGGAGUCACUUAAGAAAUUAUAUAUUCGCCAGAGUGCCAUUGGAAUGGCGGACAUAGCGAGGCCCGGCAUACACGCUCGAUCCUCCAACACAGUUCGCUCCUUCGCUCACGUAGAAAGCAAGGUCGACGAGAAAUUCCAAAGUCCGCACAGAUUUCGACUGUCGUUUGACCUGAGCAGCGUACCGUUACAAGAGACGCUGCACGCUGCGGAGCUGAGCUUGUCGCGGGUCGCCCUGGUGGCAUCCGACGAAGACGCGGAAGGCUCGAGGUACCAGCGCAUCCUCAUCCACGACAUCGUCCUGCCUGGCGUCCGGGGUCGGAGUAAACCGAUCCUCCGAUUAGUGGACAGCAAGCUUGUCGACACGAGGGAGAAUUCAUCGGUGCCUCUGGACGUGCAUCCGGCGGUCGAAAGGUGGAUACAGAAUCCGGCCCACAACCACGGCCUCCUGGUUGAGGUUCUUGGAGCUAAACGGCGGAAGGAGGAGCACGUGAGGCUCAGGCGAAGCGUCGGCGAGGACGCCGAGUCCUGGACGGCUAAUAGGCCGUUCCUCUUCACGUAUACCGACGACGGUAAGAACGAGGCCGCAUCGGCUAAUCGGAUAAUGGAGAGGCGCGCGAAGCGGGCAGCUGUCAGGAAAAACCGGAGGAGAGACGGGCGGGAAAAUUGCCGGCGACACCCGCUCUACGUGGACUUUGCGGACGUCGGAUGGAACGAUUGGAUAGUCGCACCGCCCGGUUACGACGCGUUCUACUGCCACGGCGACUGUCCGUUCCCCCUUGCCGAUCAUCUCAAUUCGACGAAUCACGCAAUAGUGCAAACCCUCGUCUACUCGACGAACCCGAACAUGGUACCGAAGGCCUGCUGCGUGCCCACAGCCCUGACUUCCAUAUCCAUGCUCUAUCUCGACGAGGAGAACAAGGUGGUGCUAAAAAAUUAUCAGGACAUGGCUGUCCUCGGGUGUGGGUGCCGCUGAAAGGAUGGCGAUUCCCCUUAAAUUCUGCAAUUCUCGAUCCGCUGGAAUCGAUGAUGGACGAACACGCUGCUGCAGCGUUAUAAGUUUUCGGAAAAGGCAUGUGUUUAAUGUACGGGACAAUGUAUUUCGCUCCGAUGAAACAUGUGCCGAUACGAACGGGGCUUUCAUCUCAACAUAACCGAAUCUAUCUACAAGAUGGUUUGUAAAUCGUGGGAUGAAAGACUGUAUCCUCGAAUUACACAGGUCGAACGUAUAAUUUAUAUUUAUAUAUACUUCUGUACAUUGCAGUUAAUUCUAUUAUCAUUUGGAAAUUUAUCAAUCCCGUGGAACCUAAAUCGGUUCGGAUGGAAAUUUACGGAUCAGCAAAUGCUGCCGGAAUGGUAAAAGUGUGAGGAUUCGCAAGUUGCGUAGUGACGAUCUGCCGUCAAUCGAUUGGUGUAAAAUAGGACUCGGCAUGUCAAUUAUUGCCCUGGUCUCCACCUUUCCCUUGAACCUUUUUGUCCUCACUACCACAGUCUCUCCCUGUUUCUCUCUCUGUCCAUCUCUCGACUACCCUUGGAGGCAUGGUCCCCCGUUGAAAAUCUCGAAUCGCAUAGAAGAAGAAUAAGGAUACAGCAUAUCCAGCGAGAUCGCUCCAUUCUCGAGACUUCUACACAGAGUGAGAUAGCGCGUGUGUGACGCUGCCGCAUUCUCUACAGUUUCAGUAAUCAACAAACCUGGCGGCCUAUCCAACCGCGGGAGCCUUAAGCCGCGUGCGUGAUAGGCAAAGCCGAACCUCCUUGGAUAUAAGCAGCGUGUCAUUUAUUAAUAAGGCUGUAGAGAAACCGGUAUAGAUUUAUAAAUAUAUAAGCGACCGCAGGUGCUACUUGUCCGAGAGAACGCAGCGGCACAACGGAGAUAUACGGCGAGGAAAGGCCGGGGAGAUAUUGUUUCAAACGAUAUUUUGUAGUAGUAGUAGUAGUAGUAGUAGUAGUAGUAUAGUAGUAAUAGUAGUAGUAGUAGUAGUAGUAGUAGUAGUAGUAGUAGUAGUAGUAGUAGUAGUAGUAGUAGUAGUAGUAGUAGUAGUAACAAUAAUAAUAAUAACAACAACAACAACACAAUAACAACAAUCGUAAUAGUAAUAACAACAGUAAUAAUCGUGACAAUCAUAAUCAUAGCAGUUAUGAUAGUAAUAGCAAUAACAAUGAUAAUAAUAAUAAUAGUAAUAAUAAUAAUAACAAUAAUAAUAAUAAUAAGAAUAAUAGUGCACUUGCGCGCGUGUGUGUUGAGAAGAGUGUGCGAUCGUGUGGGCAUAUUUUUUGUACAACACACACACACACACACACAUUCAAAUGUAUAAAAUAUGUAUAUUUGAAUGUGUUUAUGCAUUAUCACGCAUGCCUGGGCCGACCGUUUAACAGUAGUAUAGUAUAUGGAUUUACUUGCGUACGGGUAUGUUGAAGCGUGAACGUUGUGGCCGGCGAGUCUUUUUUUUUUACUUUCGCUUUGUUUUUUUCCCCUUAAUUUCUUACUUUUUUUUCAUCAUUAAAAUUUAUAACGAUCGAUGAACGCGCCAUGACACCUGGCGCGUACAGCGAACGGCGAAUGUUACGUCUGAUCUACGAUCUCCGAUCUCUCACCUCUGAUCUCUAAAUUCUUGGUAUCGAACAGCCGCGGAUUCCUUCUCCGCGGUCCGUCGACGUAGCCUGCCGAAGAGUAAAUAAAAGAAGAGGAAAUACGUAUAAUGUACGAUAAUUAUAGUAAAAAAGAAAAAAAGAAAAUCAUUGAGAGGAAGGAGGAACAAGUCGAUGAUAAUGAUGACGACGAUGACAACAACAAAAACAACAACAACAAUAACAACAACAACAACAAUAACAACAACAACAACAACAACAACAACAAUAAUAAUAACGACAACUACAAAUCGAUCGAUGAUACGAAAAUGAAAUGAGAUAAAAGAAAACGUCGCCGCUGUGUUGUACGCGCCUUGCCGGCAAGAAUGCAGCGUCGGCAUUGCGUCAUUGACAGUCAACAACUCUUAAUAUAUCGCGUAAGAGUGAAAUCGGUAAUUUUCCAAGAGUGCUGCUGCUGCUACGGUGUGUCACAUACACUCUCGGCAGGCAGUCGACGCUGCAGGAUCGAAUCGGGUCCAGGUGUGUCCUCGCGCGACUCUGUAUCCUAAACGCAUACAUGCACGUAUACAGGUGUUACACCUGUGGUCGGAAAGUAUGAGACCUACGUUGUGUAUAUCAGAGGUGACGUACCUACAUGCGAACACUGUGCCAAACUUAUACGUACACCUGUACGUAAUAUUUAAUAUGGGAGAAUCGGAGAGGCCUCUGAGUGGGACGAGUGGAAGCGAGUUGAAGCAAGUGGUAACAAGUGGCAACCGGGAGUGAAAGAGUGAAAAGCCCGAGUAGCGCGGAAGGCGGAUGGUUGGAGGGGAUAUCGAGGGGAUGGAGGAGGAAAAAGGGAAUGAGAAUGAGGAUGAGGAUGCGGAGAAGGGGAGACUACGGAAUCUUUGAGAAUCUUUUAGAAUUUUUCAAGACAGCUCGAGACAAGCGAGUUGAGACUGUAUUUAGGCUUAGUCACAGGUGGCACGUCCCGAAGCUAUCCUGUGUGUUUAACGUACCCCAUUUAUAGAUGUGAGUAAUGUAUUUAUGUGAUCGCAUACCACGGAUAAAUAUUUAACAUAAACUGUACCUGCUUAAGGAUUACUAUUUAUUUUUUACAAACAGAAUUGAAGCAUGUGUA